AACAACUACGGUAUCGGUCACAUGACUUUCUUGAAGCGACACCGAUACAGGGUUUAGCUCUAUGGGCUCCUAGUAUGCACCAAAGUCACUAUUAGAUACUAUGCACUUAGAAUAAUUCAUUGUAUUCCACCUGCAAAUUGUCUUACCUACCUCCUUAAAUGAAGAUAAUAUUAACCUGUUUAAAGAAAAAAUGACAAACAUGUACAUUUUAUGGUAAAUUGUUUUCAAUUCAGGGGCCAUAUUGGAACAGGACCCUGUUAGGCCCCUUCUAGAACCGGCCCUGUCCUCAAAUUCCUCUUUAAAUGCAUUUAUUGGAAUUUUAUUUAAUAAAUCAAGCUGAGACUAGUUCAGUUUUCAACUUUUAUUUAUUUUGUGUACAUUUUUACAGUCUAUUUUUUCCACAUACACUGAACCAACAGGGGUUCUAUAUACAUACACUGGAUAGAUCUGCAACUUGUGCAGGUUGUAAUAUAGACCUAUGCAGAUUUCACUCUGGUCAUUUGAACUGAACUGAAAAAUGCAGAAACAUUCAAUUUGACACAGAAAGAAAAACAAAAUUAUUUUUUUCUAAUUUUCUUGCAGCUUUAAGAUAUAAAAAAAAUGUAUAAAUAUGUUUUUUUUUCUCAAUAUAUCAUCAGACAAAACCUGAAAAGCACUGUUCAGUGCUUCAACUGAAGGCACCAGAUGAGCACAACAGAAGCAGAUUAUUCUGAAUCUGUCUCCAUGUUGAAUAUUAAACCAACCCUUCAGUCAAAGAAACACACUCAUGCCCUGUUUUUCAUUUCCAUCCUUAAACACAGAACAAUAAAAAAAAGUUCAUGAUACAGAAUCGAGUCCUCCUCUAAACCUUGGAGAGCUCCCCCUUAUUAACCCAGGAUAAACACUGGAGAAAGCCUGUUUAAAGUGCAUGAGUGUCACUCAUUCGGAGAAUAAACUUAGGAUAUGUCUGCGUUACGGUGGAGUCAAAUUACUGUACAGAAGAGCUUUUCUUUUUUCCCAAGAGGCAGAGUUGUGAGGUAAGAUGAGGGACGUGCAGAGCCUAAACACUGUGCCUCCUGUUGUGGAUCAUAGCCAUAAUGUGGCGCAGGUCCAAGCUCUUCAUCAUCACCUCCAUGAAGUCUUCAUCGCUUCGAGCGCCUUCCACAAACUCCUCCAAAGACAGCUCACCUGUUCAGAGACGCACAGCGUUACAAAUUAAGCUUCAAAAUGGGUUUUCCUGCUACUGGAGCGACAUCUCAGAUGUAGCUGGAUCCAAUCACCUCAAUCCUUAUCUAGAGGAUGUUUAAAUGUUCUCUCUAUCUAAGAGGGUGUCUUUGCUUCAGCUUGAGCUUUUUAGGGGACCCUAAGGACUCUGACCAUCCAAACCAGGCCAGU